rnacentral:tRNA from 1 species
GCCCCGGUGGCGAAACUGGUAGACGCGCAAGGUUUAGGACCUUGUGGCUUUUAGCCGUAGAGGUUCGAAUCCUCUCCGGGGCA